ACGGGAAUUUUCUGGACCCCAGUCUGUUCUGGUUGAGGAGGUGCUUCCAGAGAGCACAAAGAAGAGGGAUCUGGGCCCUGUCUCUCAAAAGUUGAUGGUCAAGGUGGGGCAGAUAUUUUUGCAUUUGCCCACCAGGUAACCCUAAACCUUAUAAUGUCUAAAUUAUUAUGCUGAAAGCGAAAUCGAGUCCUUUCUGGCAGCGGGUGCUGCUUCCCAGUGAGCGCGAAGCCUUGCGAGCGAGCUCAGAGAGAAGCAGGCUGCUGCUUGCGACCACACAGCCAGCUAACAGCGACACUGGAUGCAGACUCGGCGCUCCUCUUGCCACAUUGUCGUUUCUACCACCCAACCUCCAAACCAGGACGCUGAAAAGUCGAAGUCAUUAUGCUUUGUUCCUGGGAUCUGCAGGGACCACAGAGCGCCCAGAGAGAACCGGCUGUAAACACAAAUGACAUGACAAAUGACAGCCCGUUCAUGGUUAUCUCGACCAAGCCUCCUUGGAACUACGUCUGUUUCCAGAUUCAACCUCUUCUCAAGGUGAUGUGGAAAUAGUGACGUUCCCACAGACAAUUGGUGAUGAGCUGGACUGCCAUCCAGGUUUCCUCAUUCCC
rnacentral:lncRNA from 1 species